CGGCGUGCUUAACACAUGCAAGUCGAACGGAAAGGUCUCUUCGGAGAUACUCGAGUGGCGAACGGGUGAGUAACACGUGGGCAAUCUGCCCUGCACUUCGGGAUAAGCCUGGGAAACUGGGUCUAAUACCGUAUAGGACCUCGAGGCGCAUGCCUUGUGGUGGAAAGCUUUAUGCGGUGUGGGAUGGGCCCGCGGCCUAUCAGCUUGUUGGUGGGGUGACGGCCUACCAAGGCGACGACGGGUAGCCGGCCUGAGAGGGUGUCCGGCCACACUGGGACUGAGAUACGGCCCAGACUCCUACGGGAGGCAGCAGUGGGGAAUAUUGCACAAUGGGCGCAAGCCUGAUGCAGCGACGCCGCGUGGGGGAUGACGGCCUUCGGGUUGUAAACCUCUUUCACCAUCGACGAAGGUUCGGGUUUUCUCGGAUUGACGGUAGGUGGAGAAGAAGCACCGGCCAACUACGUGCCAGCAGCCGCGGUAAUACGUAGGGUGCGAGCGUUGUCCGGAAUUACUGGGCGUAAAGAGCUCGUAGGUGGUUUGUCGCGUUGUUCGUGAAAUCUCACGGCUUAACUGUGAGCGUGCGGGCGAUACGGGCAGACUAGAGUACUGCAGGGGAGACUGGAAUUCCUGGUGUAGCGGUGGAAUGCGUAGAUAUCAGGAGGAACACCGGUGGCGAAGGCGGGUCUCUGGGCAGUAACUGACGCUGAGGAGCGAAAGCGUGGGGAGCGAACAGGAUUAGAUACCCUGGUAGUCCACGCCGUAAACGGUGGGUAUUAGGUGUGGGUUUCCUUCCUUGGGAUCCGUGCCGUAGCUAACGCAUUAAGUACCCCGCCUGGGGAGUACGGCCGCAAAGGCUAAA
rnacentral:rRNA from 1 species